rnacentral:rRNA from 1 species
AUGGGAGAAAAUCAGGGACUCGAGAAGGCAAUUGAAAAAUUGGCUGAGCUCCUAACAGCCAAGGUAGGAGCUGCAGCAUCUCUAAAUAAUGCAAUUGUUCCUCACAUUGAGCCAAUUCAGAAAAUUGACUUGAUGCCAAAUGAAAUUAAGCUGGAAGGUGUUAAGAAUUAUUUGAGCUGGUCAAGAAGGGCGCUACUCAUCUUGAGGACUAAAGGGCUUGAGGGCUUUGUCAGUGGUGAGGCAGAGGAGCCAGGAGACAAGAAAACUUCAGAAUGGAGGACAUGGAGCAGUACCAACUCUUUGAUAGUGGCAUGGUUGUUGAACUCCUUGUCUCCAACCAUUGCUGCAACUGUUGAGACUAUCUCAACUGCUACUGAGGUAUGGAAAACCCUCUCAAAACUAUACUCAGGUGAAGGGAAUGUGAUGUUAAUAGCUGAAACAGAGGAGAGAGUUGGUGAACUCAGACAAGGGGAAAAUUAUGUGAUGGAGUAUGUUGCUGAACUGCAGCGUUUGUGGGCUGAUUUAGAUCACUAUGAUCCUCUGGAUUUGCCACAUGCAGAUUGCAUAGCAGCUGCUAGAAAAUGGAUUGAACGCAGACGAGUGAUGCAGUUUCUCAAAGGAUUGAACUCUGACUUUGUGGCGAGACAUGCUACUUUAUUUCAUCAACCUACUCUACCUGCCUUAGAGGAUGCCAUAGCAGCAAUGACAUAG